rnacentral:rRNA from 1 species
UGAUACUGUUAGGCUAGAGUAGGUGAGAGGAAGGUAGAAUUCCAGGUGUAGCGGUGAAAUGCGUAGAGAUCUGGAGGAAUACCGAUGGCGAAGGCAGCCUUCUGGCAUCAUACUGACACUGAGGUUCGAAAGCGUGGGUAGCAAACAGGAUUAGAUACCCUGGUAGUCCACGCCGUAAACGAUGUCUACUAGUCGUUGGGUCCCUUGAGGACUUAGUGACGCAGCUAACGCAAUAAGUAGACCGCCUGGGGAGUACGGCCGCAAGGUUAAAACUCAAAUGAAUUGACGGGGGCCCGCACNAGCGGUGGAGCAUGUGGUUUAAUUCGAUGCAACGCGAAGAACCUUACCUGGUCUUGACAUAUCUAGAAUCCUGCAGAGAUGCGGGAGUGCCUUCGGGAAUUAGAAUACAGGUGCUGCAUGGCUGUCGUCAGCUCGUGUCGUGAGAUGUUGGGUUAAGUCCCGCAACGAGCGCAACCCUUGUCCUUAGUUACCAGCGGUUUGGCCGGGAACUCUAAGGAUACUGCCAGUGACAAACUGGAGGAAGGCGGGGACGACGUCAAGUCAUCAUGGCCCUUACGACCAGGGCUACACACGUGCUACAAUGGUAGGUACAGAGGGCAGCUACACAGCGAUGUGAUGCGAAUCUCAAAAAGCCUAUCGUAGUCCAGAUUGGAGUCUGCAACUCGACUCCAUGAAGUAGGAAUCGCUAGUAAUCGCGGAUCAGAAUGCCGCGGUGAAUACGUUCCCGGGCCUUGUACACACCGCCCGUCACACCAUGGGAGUUGAUUGCACCAGAAGUGGGUAGCCUA